AUGGUGAAGGGAAGAUGGGAGACAAUACUGGAGCAGCAGCGGCGCUAUCGUGAGGAGAAGGAAUGGCUCAUGGACAUCAUGGCCAAAGAGAUGCUCACUAAGAAGUUCAUGCUCUGGGACCAGAUCAAUUCUGAUCACUGCACUCAGGCCAUGCAAGAUAGGUAUACGGAGGUCAGUGGGAACCUGAGGGAUUUGUAUGAUAAGGAUGGAUUACGAAAGGAGGAGCUCAAUGACAUUUCAGGACCCAGUGAGUUUGCUGAUUUCUAUAACAGACUCAAGCAAAUAAAGGAAUUCCACCAGAAGCACCCGAAUGAGAUCUAUGUGCCAAUGUCAGUGGAAUCUGAGGAGCUCCUGAAGGCUUGAGAGAAUCCAAGUGAAGAGGCACAAAACUAGGUGGAGUUCACAGAUGAAGAGGGAUAUGGUCAUUACCUCGAUCUCCAUGACUGUUACCUCAAGUACAUUAACCUGAAGGCAUCUGAGAAGCUGGAUUAUAUCACACACCUAUCCAUCUUAGACCAAUUAUUUGACAUUCCUAAAGACAGGAAGAAUGCAGAGCGUUAAGAGAUACCUAGAGAUGCUGCUUGAGUACCUUCAGGAUUACACAGAGUGAAGCCUCUCCAAGAUCAGAGUGAACUUUCUGGGAAGAUUCAGGCUGAAUUUGAGAAGAAAUGGGAGAAUGGGAUCUUUCCUGGAUGGCCGAAAGAGACAAGCAGUGCCCGGACGCACGCUGGAGCCCAUCUUGACCUCUCUGCACUCUCCUCCUGGGAGGACUUGCCCUCUCUGGCUGUGGACAGAUUGAAAUCUGCUCUCUCUAAGAUUUAGGACUGAAAUGUGGCAGGACCCCAGAAGAGUGAGCCCAGAGACUAUUCAGCACCAAAGGAAAGUCCCUGGAGUCACUUGAAAACUCUUUGUUUGCCAAAAAUCCCAAGUCAAAGGGCACCAAGUGAGACACUGAGAGAAACAAAGACAUUGCUUUUCUAGAAGCCCAGAUCUACAAAGAUCUAUGAAUACGUAGAGAUUCUCGGGGAACAGCGACAUCCCACUCAUGAAAAUGUACAAUGCAAGCAAGAAAGGACAGGAGAAGAGCGAGAAGAGGAGGAAGAAGAGCAAAUCAGCGAGAGUGAGAGUGAAGAUGAAGAGAACGAGAUCAUUUACAAACCCAAAAAACCUGCCACUUGGCUGGGAUGGCAAACCCAUUCCCUACUGGCCAUAUAAGCUUCAUGGCCUAAGUAUCAACUACGACUGUGAGAACUGUGGAAACUACACCUGCCGAGGACCCAAAGCUUCCAGCGGCCCUUUGCUGAAUGGCGUCAGGCUCAUGGUAUGAGGUGUUUGGGCAUCCCGAACACUGCUCACUUUGCUAAGGUGACACAGAUUGAAGAGGCUGCCUCCCUGUGGGCCAAACGGAAACUGCAGAAGGCGUCAGAACGAUGGCAGCCUGACGCUGAGGAAGAAUAUGAAGACUCAAGUGGGAAUGUUGGGAAUAAAAAGACAUAUGAGGACCUGAAAAGACAAGGACUCCUCUAGUGUUCAGGGAUGUAGCUCAGCUUUAGGACUAGCCCAGGCUUCCCUGAGAUCUGCUUGUUCUAUUUCUCCCAACCAAAUCCUCUUAAAGACCUUUUGCUAUGUAGUUUCAUGGUCUAGCAUGCAUCUUAUAGAAACAAAGCAUGCUGGCAGAUUGCAGGUUUGAGAUGUGUUUUAUCUGUUUUAUAUUUAAAAAGAUUCUGCCAGAAAAUAAAACCAGACCUUGUUCUGAAGCCCAGGGUUAUGGACCAACUCAGUGCUUCAGGUCUUAAUGCCUCCAUACCUCUUUCUGAUCAACUUUAGAAGUAGCUGAGAUGUAAUGGGCACCUGUUAUGCUACACAUCAUGUUAUGUAAAUCUGACCUGAGCUCUUUCCCCACCCUCCUUCAUUGCUACUUCCCUGAAUGAGUAUUACCCCAGGAUGAGGUCUGCCAUCAGCUUAGUUAGCCAUUGAUGCAAACACUAGGGAAAGACUAGGAGGAUGAGCCAGGACUGCUACGAAGGACUAAAUGUGGCACCAAGGUUUGCCUUCUGUAUUUGCAUAAAGAAAGGAGUUGGAGCUGGGUGCAGUGGCUUGUGCCUGUAGUCCCAGCUACUUGGGAGGCUGAGGCAGGAGGGUUGCUUGAGACCAGCCUAGGUAACAUAGUGACAGCCUGUCUCGUUAAA